rnacentral:rRNA from 1 species
UACGGAGGGGGCUAGCGUUGUUCGGAAUUACUGGGCGUAAAGCGCACGUAGGCGGAUCUUUAAGUCAGGGGUGAAAUCCUGGAGCUCAACUCCAGAACUGCCUUUGAUACUGGGGAUCUCGAGUCCGGAAGAGGUGAGUGGAACUCCGAGUGUAGAGGUGAAAUUCGUAGAUAUUCGGAAGAACACCAGUGGCGAAGGCGGCUCACUGGUCCGGUACUGACGCUGAGGUGCGAAAGCGUGGGGAGCAAACAGG